GACAGAGGUGCCAAGCGUUAGGCGGAAUCACUGGGCUUAAAGCGUGUGUAGGCGGAUGCCUAAGUACCUUGUGAAAUCCCACGGCUCAACCGUGGAACUGCUGGGUAUACUGGGUGUCUUGGGUCAGCUAGGGGUUGCCGGAACAAAUGGUGGAGCGGUGAAAUGCGUAGAUAUCAGGAAGAACACCCGUGGCUAAGGCGGCUCUCUAGUACGGUACUGACGCUGAGACGCGAAAGCGUGGGGAGCGAACAGG
rnacentral:rRNA from 1 species